GACGAACGCUGGCGGCGUGCUUAACACAUGCAAGUCGAACGGAAGGGCCCUGCUUUUGUGGGGUGCUCGAGUGGCGAACGGGUGAGUAACACGUGAGUAACCUGCCCUUGACUUUGGGAUAACUUCAGGAAACUGGGGCUAAUACCGGAUAGGAGCUCCUGCUGCAUGGUGGGGGUUGGAAAGUUUCGGCGGUUGGGGAUGGACUCGCGGCUUAUCAGCUUGUUGGUGGGGUAGUGGCUUACCAAGGCUUUGACGGGUAGCCGGCCUGAGAGGGUGACCGGCCACAUUGGGACUGAGAUACGGCCCAGACUCCUACGGGAGGCAGCAGUGGGGAAUAUUGCACAAUGGGCGGGAGCCUGAUGCAGCAACGCCGCGUGCGGGAUGACGGCCUUCGGGUUGUAAACCGCUUUCGCCUGUGACGAAGCGUGAGUGACGGUAAUGGGUAAAGAAGCACCGGCUAACUACGUG
rnacentral:rRNA from 1 species